CUCUAUCCCCAUUACAGUACCCUGUGUCUGGAGCGCUGUGUGUCUCUAUCCCCAUUACAGUACCCUGUGUCUGGAGCGCUGUGUGUCUCUAUCCCCAUUACAGUACCCUGUGUCUGGAGCGCUGUGUGUCUCUAUCCCCAUUACAGUACCCUGUGUCUGAGCGCUGUGUGUCUCCAUCCCCAUUACAGUACCCUGUGUCUGGAGCGCUGUGUGUCUCUAUCCCCAUUACAGUACCCUGCGUCUGGAGCGCUGUGUGUCUCUAUCCCCAUUACAGUACCCUGUGUCUGGAGCGCUGUGUGUCUCCAUCCUCAUUACAGUACCCUGUGUCUGGAGCGCUGUGUGUCUCCAUCCCCAUUACAGUACCCUGUGUCUGGAGCGCUGUGUGUCUCCAUCCUCAUUACAGUACCCUGUGUCUGAAAUGGGACCUUAUUGCCUAUAUAGUGCACUACAUUUGACCAGGCACUGCAUCUCAGUGCAAAAGGCAUCACUACAGUCCCUGGGUCGAAUCCAGGCUACAUCACAUCCGGCCAUGAUUGGGAGUCCCAUAGGGCGGCACACAAUUGUCCCAGCGUCGUCCGGGGUAGGCCGUCAUUGUAAGUAAGAAUUUGUUCUUAACUGACUUACCUAGUUAAAUAAAGGUUAAAUCAAAUUAAAUAAAUAGGGCUCUGGUCAUAAAAUCGGGCUCCAUGUUAAGAAUAGGGUUCCAUUCCGGACAACACCUCUGGGUCCCUGCCUGCCUGCUCACUGUGGUGCUAGAGCCAUAAAAAGGCACCACUAAUCUGACCAGGCUUCACUCUCUCUCUUCUCUCACUCUUCCUCGGUGAGGUUUUCCCUCUUUAUUGGAUAGUGCAGGAGCUGAACCACAAAACCAAUUUUAGUCACAUUCUCAAUGAGCCUUGACGGGGCCCAAUUUGUCUCCCCUCAGGGCAUUGGGAUCCGCUCCAGUGUCCCCCAAAGCCUCUUUUUUAGAGAAAAAGAGGGAUUUUUGGUGUUCUUUUUUUCCGUUAACAAUUGCACGUUUUGAGAUCCAGCAGUUCAUGUGACUCAAAGGCAGGCUGUGCAUUGCGUUCUGGGAAAGAUGGCAGUGACAUCAUGGGUCAGCUAUGACAUCGCACACAGAAAUGUCUGUAACAAUGUAAUUGUUCAUCGAGUGCCUUUAACGAAGCUUCCAAAUGAUUCCAAUAUCUACAGGAUAGAAAAAAAGCACAUGGAAAAGCUAUCUUAUAUAAGGGAACCGUACAUUUUUGAAGGAGUUGUGCUAAACUAGUACAAAUGUACAACCUACUCUAAGGUGCUACAGUGAAAGCUGUCUUGGGCAUGUGCCUGCUUUGUGUCCGUUGGUCUGUGACGCACUGGCUAUUGUCGAUCAACAUUCAUUUACUACAGUGGCUCAUCCCAUUGGGUUGUGCUUUUCACAACCAAUAGAAAACGGGCCCAUCGUGAACUACGUGGUCUACAUCGUGAGCUGCCAUCAUAGCCACCGUAACACAGGCAAUGCAAUCGGAGAAAAUAUAACCAUUCGACAAUCUGUUGUCCCGUAAAACAUUCGACCCACAUGUCUUCCAUCCAAUGACAAGUCAAUGAUCAAAUCUACUGCACCAAUCUACCAACACCAGAGCUACUCAGCUGCCCACUGUCCCCAAACACCUUUCUCUUUCCUCUUUUCACUCACCCUGUCACUUCCACUCAUCUUCUGCUUUCACUUUCCGAGUACAGAAAACUUUGAGAUCACAGGAUAUAUGUGCAAAGUCACCCACUUUACAAUUCCAACAGACAAACAAACCCAAAACGUCUGUGCCGUUUUCACACCAGUGACAACAACCUGUGUACAUUUCUGCACGUCUCUCCGGGUAAUGACAUUGAUUUUUGCCGCGUGGUUUUUUCGUGAGCAGGCGAGCUGCUACAGUAGGAGGUGUCCAGAUCUUAAGCUAGACCCGUUGGUCGGGGUCGACGUUUGCUCCUCAACCUCCAUGGUGUUCAAACUGUACCUGAAACGAUGUGCUCUACAUCACAGACCACUCUUACAGCUGCUACUUUAAGAGACAGACUAAAGAAGAAACCAUUGAUUAACCGUAGGAAUCUGAUCGCACUCACCUUUGAUCACAAAGGUCAACGCGCUACACAUGUUGUCACCGUCUAAGAUUCAAUAGCAAUGACAAUACAAGGAAAAUUAGGUGACAAAUAGAAAUGACCAAAAAAAAGCACACAACAGAACUGUAUACGCUCCAAAUUGCUACCAGAGAUUCAAGAAAGACGAAACAUUGAAGUGAGGAGAGGUUUCCCUCAGUGCGGUAAGAGCGAUAUCGAUGCGGUCAUUAUGUGGUUGAAAUGGCAGUAUCAAGACUGACUGAACUCCUCUCUUAUUCUACGCUAGUUGUAACACAAUGGCCGGGCAAGAUGCCUGAUAAACAUGUACAGUGAUUCUCACUGCGUUUUAGGGAGCUGCAGUUAAAGAUCUAGCUCGCUAGCCUAUGUGUCAGAACAAACCAGCCAGAGAGGGUCAUUGGCUCUACUACAUUCGCUGACACACACACAUACUCACUAUUGCCAGACAUUUCUGAGUAUUACACACACACACACACACACACACACAGUGUUUCAGUCAGUGUGUUAGUCUUCUCAUUAUCUCUUCAUCAGAGUACGGUUAUCACUCUGCUCUUCAUUGCUUACCAUCCUAGUCUCAGUUACUUAGGCUCUAUGGGGCCAACUUCCACGUGAGUAAAAUGUUCACGUUCUCUCCCAUUGACAUCAAUGCAUCACUAACCUAAGCAUAGACUUUAGUGGAAGUUAGGAUUCGCCCCGAUGUCUUUGGUAUGUCCAGAGCAGCCGUGUUCCGUUUCAGUCUACUGUAUCUAUCCAGGCUGGGCCACAGAGCUGCUUCAGUUCACUGCCUUUUUAACGCCGUCCAGUUCUCCAAUCCGUCCCAUGUUGUGUCUGUCUCACUGCCUCCGUCCAGAUAUCAAGCCAGUCGGUCAUAUCUAGCUACCAUAUUUCUAUCAAGUCCUAGGAACAUAUUCACCACAAUGGCAUUCCAAGUUGAUCAAUGUCAUACCCCAUUGUCAUAGGCUUCUUGUGAUUUCCCACAUUGUGACUAGACAGUGGUUUAGAGAAGACUGGCCCUGUGUCCAAAAUGGACCCUAUGUCUAUAUAGGGGAUACUGUGUCCUAUAUUGGCACCCUAUUCUCCAUACAAUGCACAACUGGACUGUAUUAUGACAGACGGUGCCUCAGAGUUGGGACUCCCACAGUGUGACAGGAGAGCUCCGGGCUCGAUAUAACUCAACACUCUUUCAGCUCUUACCACCACGUAAUUCAGUGGGGAAAUUGCUCAAAAAAAAAAAAUGUGUCCCACGCUUUUUAAUUGAUGCUCCGGUUCACCUUUGACGGGAGGCAUCGAUUGGCCACACAUCCCCAGGAGCUCAGCCAACUGGCUAACCUAACACACACCUUCCUCGGAAUGAAAUGGCUCCCAGAGACGUCAAACACUAUUGAGUAACUAUCAUUUGAAAUGGCCAACCAAAUUUGCUGAAGAAACCUCCAGAACUUUCAUUAAGUGUCAGGAUUAUUAUACAAUAAAAAAAAGAGGAAUAUUUAUUAGGACAGCAAAGCGGUUCUUAGAUAUUUUUUUGUUAAGUUCUGUUCUUUGUUGUUUUUCUAUUUUUGCUUUUCUUUGGGUCAGCGCAGAGGAGGAUGUGGUCAUGCCUUAUGCACGCCACUCAGUGUGUGCGAUCCUUGAUAAAUAUCUGUACAUCUGUGGAUGUUAGGAUUAAACUUCGGUUUUAAUGAGUUGUUUUUUUCUCUGAAGCUUUCAAUAAAAAAAUGUGGAAAAAA
ensembl:lncRNA